UGCAUCGGCCGGGAAUAGAACCCGACCCGCGCGUGGCAGGCGAGCAUUCUACCACUGAACCACCGAUGG